AUUAGCCUUUGGGGCAAGGUGAGAGGGAGUAGAUAUCCUUCAAUUCCUUACCGGCGGUAAAGCCCGCGAGCCGUAUGGUUGAUCUGGUGUGAUUCCGGAGCCGACAGUAUAGUCUGGAAGGGAAAAGGCUUGU
rnacentral:ncRNA from 2 species